rnacentral:rRNA from 1 species
GACGAACGCUGGCGGCGUGCUUAACACAUGCAAGUCGAACGGAAAGGCCCUGCUUUUGUGGGGUGCUCGAGUGGCGAACGGGUGAGUAACACGUGAGUAACCUGCCCUUGACUUUGGGAUAACUUCAGGAAACUGGGGCUAAUACCGGAUAGGAGCUCCUGCUGCAUGGUGGGGGUUGGAAAGUUUCGGCGGUUGGGGAUGGACUCGCGGCUUAUCAGCUUGUUGGUGGGGUAGUGGCUUACCAAGGCUUUGACGGGUAGCCGGCCUGAGAGGGUGACCGGCCACAUUGGGAAGGGGAAACGGCCCAGACCCCUACGGGGGGCAGCAGGGGGGAAUAUGGCAAAAGGGGCGGAAGCCUGAUGCAGCAACGCCGGGUGCGGGAUGACGGCCUUCGGGUUGUAAACCGCUUUCGCCUGUGACGAAGCGUGAGUGACGGUAAUGGGUAAAGAAGCACCGGCUAACUACGU